CACCAGCUCCACAAGUGGGGAUCACAUUUAUUUGGCCUAAAGCGUCCGUAGCCGGUUUUGUAAAUCCUUUGUGAAAUUGUUAGGCUUAACCUAACAGCAUGCAGGGGACACUGCAGAACUAGGGACCGGGAAGGGCAAGGGGUAUGCUGAGGGGAGCGGUAAAAUGCAAUAAUCCUCGGUAGACCACCUGUGGCGUAGGCGCCUUGCUAGAACGGGUCCGACGGUGAGGGACGAAAGCCAGGGGA
rnacentral:rRNA from 1 species